rnacentral:rRNA from 1 species
UACGUAGGGAGCAAGCGUUGUUCGGAUUUACUGGGCGUAAAGGGCGCGUAGGCGGCGCGGUAAGUCACUUGUGAAAUCUCUGAGCUUAACUCAGAACGGCCAAGUGAUACUGCAGUGCUAGAGUGUGGAAGGGGCAAUCGGAAUUCUUGGUGUAGCGGUGAAAUGCGUAGAUAUCAAGAGGAACACCUGAGGUGAAGACGGGUUGCUGGGCCAACACUGACGCUGAGGCGCGAAAGCCAGGGGAGCAAACGGG